rnacentral:rRNA from 1 species
UGGGGAAUUUUGGACAAUNGGCGAAAGCCUGAUCCAGCAAUGCCGCGUGCAGGAUGAAGGCCCUCGGGUUGUAAACUGCUCUUGUACGGAACGAAAAGCCUGGGGCUAAUAUCCCCGGGCCAUGACGGUACCGUAAGAAUAAGCACCGGCUAACUACGUGCCAGCAGCCGCGGUAAUACGUAGGGUGCAAGCGUUAAUCGGAAUUACUGGGCGUAAAGCGUGCGCAGGCGGUUUUGUAAGACAGUGGUGAAAUCCCCGGGCUCAACCUGGGAACUGCCAUUGUGACUGCAAGGCUAGAGUGCGGCAGAGGGGGAUGGAAUUCCGCGUGUAGCAGUGAAAUGCGUAGAUAUGCGGAGGAACACCGAUGGCGAAGGCAAUCCCCUGGGCCUGCACUGACGCUCAUGCACGAAAGCGUGGGGAGCAAACAGGAUUAGAUACCCUGGUAGUCCACGCCCUAAACGAUGUCAACUGGUUGUUGGGUCUUAACUGACUCAGUAACGAAGCUAACGCGUGAAGUUGUUCNAGGGUGGGGAGUACGGCCGCAAGGUUG